CUCUGUCUUGUCUUUACUGUAAGCACUUCAGGGCAGGAAUGAACUCUUCUAAAGUCUUGUUUACAUGAGAAAGUUUUGACCAGUUAUACCACUAUAAUUAUAUCAUUGUAGUUAACCUGAUAUACUGGUAUGACUCCAGAUGAGGACACCAUUUUUUUCUGAUUUGAGUGGCUUCGGGGAAUGGGGCGGCAGUAUAAAAACACCACCAUGCUGAACUACUCCACCAGCAGCAAAGCAACGAUGAACCAGACCCUAGGUCUU
rnacentral:lncRNA from 1 species